rnacentral:tRNA from 1 species
AUUUGUCUGGCGGCAGNCGCACCCUUGGUAAGGGUGAGGUCCCCAGUUCGACUCUGGGUAUCAGCACCA